CCAUAACAAAUCAAAAGUAAAAAGAGCAAGAUUCCUCAAAGAUUAGUCCGGAAUCAAAAUAUGUCAAGAAACUAAAAAAAAGUAUCAAUCUAUGCCAUAUAAAAAAAAUAUCAAAAGAGGCUUUGUGCACUUAAUAAGUGCACAAUACCUUUAGAUUUUAACGGAAGGCAUCUGGACGACGUCAAAAAAAGUGAAGUUCAGAUUGUGCACUAAAUAAGUGCACAAUUCAUUUUUUUAUGGAGGGUAUGUUUGGUAUGAUGGAAAAUGUUUUCUAGAAAAUAUUUUUCCAUUUUUUCAUGUUUGGUUAUAAAAAAAUUUUGAGAAAAUAUUUUUCAAGGUGACUUAUUUUUCAUCAUUUGAGGGAAAAUGACUUUCCUGAUAAGUCAAGGAAAGUCAUUUUCCAGAUAAAAAAUAUGAAGUCACACCCUCCCUGAUAGGAUUAUACCCCCGCCCCUCUUCUUCAUUGCACCCACAAGCAGAUCACGUCAUCUUCAAUUUUAGGGCUUUCUCCCUUCUCUCUCUCUUCUCCCCCAGUGCAAGAAUUUCUAAGGUAUGUUCAUAACUAAUUUUUUUUAUGGUGUUUGGUCAAAAAUUUCUUCAAUUUUUUUUCUUUUGCUUGUUUGGAUUUCUGAUUUGAGGCCAAUUUUAUUCAAAAAUUAAAAUUUGAAUUUCUUAUUUGAGUUCAAUUUUGCUCAAAAAUUGAAAUAUGGGUUAACUUAUCUAUGAAAAUUGAUAAGUUAUUGUGAGUUAGUUGAGCGAUUAGCAUUAGACUGAAGCUAUAUGAGUAUCUUAGUUUUAAUAAUUGACGCCAAUUUUAUGAAGUUGACUUGUGAAUAUUUCCAGUAACAAUAUUGUUUCCCAAAGAUGUGUUAAUGUUAUUGAAUUUGGACUAUUAAAAUCCCACAGAUCUUGAUUACAUUUAUGGUAAGUCGUGUUUUAUUUGUUAUAAUUUCAUUUGAAAAAUUAUCGGAGCUUUAGAGGCAUUAAUUUGUGAAGAACAAAAAGUUAACUUCUUUGCUGGUACAAAAAGAUCUAAACAGAGAGACAUGAAACACUUUGGAAUACGAUCCAUACAACCGUGUAAUGAAAUCUUGAGGAACACCAAAUACAGAUGCAUCUUUACUUUAGCACACUGGUGUAAGAUGACAAAUGUAUAUUGAAGUUGAUAUGAUAAAAUUCCUCUACUCCUUGCCUGUGUAGUGACGUUUUGAGAUUUUGCUUUUUUUAUCACACACCUCAAUGCACCUACUAGGUGUAGUUUAUAUAACACGUACCCGUAACCUUAUUUCCGAAAAAAAAAGAAGUUACUAGUGAAAGCAUGAAUUGGUUAUACCAAUUUGAUUUGUUUCGUGCCUUUCGUUGAUUGAGAAAAUGGAUCAAAUUUUACAUAAUCAAACUUAUGUAGCUUUACAAAAAAGUAAGAGUUGGUGAAAAUAAAAAGUGGUUUUACCAAUCUGAUUUAUUUGGUAACCUUUAUUCAGCAACAAAAUGCAUCAAAUUCUAACCUGAUUAAAUCUAAAAUCAUCUUCUAGUAGUAAUCAGGACAAAGUAUUAUUUCGUAACAAUAUCCUUUUUUUACUUUUUUUAAUUAACCUGGUAUCCGAACCAGCUUAUUCGUAUCUUAACUAAUGUCAUGGGAUACUUGGUACUAACUUAUUCUGAUUUACGGGUCUAAUCAUUGCUUAUUUUCCUCGCUGAGAUUCAAUUACCAACUCCAAUCUUUUGAAUAUAUUAGGACCUGGAAAUAGCUUUAGAUGAAAUUUAUAUGAGCAUCCAAUGAAGUGAGGUGUUUGUGACUUCCAGUAUUCGUAACCAAAAGACAAAAGAAUGUCCUGUUUGCAGGAUGUGAUGCUUCUAGAUUUAAACUGAGCAGUUUAAUUUAGCCCACUGUUGACUUUAAAAGAUGGUAAUUGUCAAAAAUUGCUGAAGAUAAUUUAGUGUGCUAUGUUUAGCUUAUAUGGCUUAUUUGAACUGAAAAGGAAACAAAUGAAUUUUCUUUUUUCUGCUACUAUACUAGUGUAUUAGAACAGCUGCAAUAUAUUCUGCCAUUCAAGAUCAUAUUUGGUGAUUGUUACUAUUUAUUCUCUAGCGAAUGAUUCUUUCUUCUCAUGAAUAUAAGUGGGGGUAACAUUGCAUGUUCAUUCGAUCGUUGCUACUAACCAGAUGCCCUGUAUUUGGUUCAACACUGACAAAGAGGCCAACACCUUGUAAAUUUCCAUCACUUCCUAUUCUAAAAGUUUGGUACUCGUGUAAAAAAUGUUCUCAGUGUCAUAUGAGAAUAUUAAUGUUAGUCAUACUAGGAAACUAGGGCAGACAUGGCACAAAGUCCUUGAAAAGGCUACUUCAACACUCACUUUAUUCUGAUACAACAUUAUGAACUACAACUUCCAAGAAAUGGUGUCCCUUUUUUAUCCUAACCAUGGGCGGAUUUAGAGGUAUAAGUGAGGGUUCUCGCGAACCCGGUCACUUUCGUGUGGAUCUCAUGAAUGAUUCUUUAUGAAGCUGUGAAGUGUUUAACAUUGAUUUUAUUUUUAAGCCCAACUGUUUAUGUUACAUUAAUAUAUUAGAAUCAAAUAAACUUGACACCAAAUUUUCUCUAAUCUUUGUAUUGUAGGCACUUUCCAAUCAUAACAAGUUCAUCAACAAAAAAAUUAAAAUGUUUGACGAAAUGUCUCUUGUGUGUGGAAAUGAUUAGGCUAGGGAAGAUUGUGCUAAAUCAUUCAAAGAUACAGAUUUUGAUAGUUUUUCUGAGAAAGAUAAUAAUAAUGACCUUGUAGGACCAUCCAUUGAAAAGGAUGUGCAAGUAAUCGAAACUUCUCAAAUCAAGGCAAGUCGCAAAAUAAAACAUUCUUUUGAGGUGCAAGAUGUUGUAGGUGAUAUAUCAAUAAAAUUUGGAGAAGUGGCAACGGCAAUCGAUAGAAUGGUUGAUAGUCGUCUAGAUGUGACAAAGUUGUAUGAAGAAGUUAUGGUAAUGGAAGGUUAUAAUGAAGAGUUCCUCGGUGAUGCUUUUGAUUAUUUGGUGCAAAGCGACACUUUAGCUAAGGCAUUCAUGGUCAAAAAUCAAAAUCUUCGUAAGGUGUGAUUGGGACGAUUCAAGCAACACCAAUAGUGACAUCUAUUGGUUGGUUUAGCUUCAUAGGAUUUGGAAGCAACUAUUAUGCACGCUUUUGUUUUUGAUAAUGUAUCAUGUUUUUGCUUCCAAACUUCUCUCCUUUCUUUUGUUUUUGAUAAUGUAUCGUGUAUUUGCUUUCAAAUUUAUCUCUUUUGUGCAUUUGUGGGAAUUGAUUAGGAAGCUUGAAUUAUGUAAGUAAUAGUUGCUUAAAUUUUAGAGUCUUGUAAUAUUUUGAUACUCGAUAUUGGUAUAAUUCGCUAUGGUUAAAUUAGUUCCGACAGAAUGUUGAGUUGCCUGAUAUACUAGUUAAUUGUUCAGCAGUAUUUUUCAAAAAUUAUUUUUUCUCUCACCAAUCAAACAACUAAAAACAUUUUUUAGAAAAAUAUUUUCCACCCACCAAUCAAAACAUGAGAAAAUAAGUAAAAAAUCAACUUAUUUUUCACGAAAAUAUUUUCCAUCAUACCAAACACAUCUAGAUUGUGCACUUAUUUAGUGCACAAUUCUUUUUAUUCAACAUUGUGCACUUAUUUAGUGCACAAUCUAUUUACUUAUAGAUAUACAUUUAUUUCACGGUCCAAUUUAAUUUUUUCUUAAAGAUUGUGCACUUUUUUAGUGCACAAUCCAUUUAUUUAUAGAUUGUGCACAAAAAAAUGCACAAUAUAUUAUUUUUCGAUUGUGCAUUUUUUUAACCACAUUCAGUGGAUAAAAGAUAAUCUUUAUAUGAUUUGGGUUAAGACCAGCUAUAAUGUAGGGAUUUUCUUUACCUCGUUUUCUAAUGUUUUGGCCGGCAAGGUGGCAGCUAUUUUGAGGAUGAGAAGCGCAGGAAAGAGUCCAUUUUGAAAUGAAUUCACUUUUUCUUAAGAAUUUGUAAGGAAAACAGAAAUUUCAAAGUUUUUGCUUGUUCAUUUCCUUGACACACAAUUAACUCCUUUGUAGAACUUGGACCAAUUCUCAGCAGACGAGAAUAAGGAUGCGGUUCGUGCUUUUGAACUCUCUCUUCAAGAAUCAAAGGGAAAAGAAACAUAUACAGGUGGUGAGGGUCAAUGAUGUGGUCUUUUCAUCUCGCCUUUUUAAGCUAAUUGUUGUUUCAGCAAAAAGUUUGUAUUUUCAACUCUAGCCACUACUUUCAAGAUUUUGGGACUUAGGCUAUCUUAUAUAUAGAUGUGGUCAUUUUUUCUGUUAGCUUUUGUGCAUAAUAUAUUAUUUUUGGAUUGUGCACUUUCUUUUUAGUACACUCCAUUCAUUUAUAGAAUGUGCAUAAAAAUGGACCAUAUAAAUAAAUAAAUUAUACACUAAAAAAAUACAUAAUAAAAAAUUAAUAUAUUGUGCACUUUUUUAGUGCACUCCAUUAACGAUAUAAAUAAAUGAAUUAUGCACUAAAAAACUACACAAUAAAAAAUUAAUAUAUUAUGCACUUUUUUAAUAUACAAUCUAUAAAUAAAUAAAUUAUACAAUAAAAAGUGUGCAAUUUUUUAAAAAAGUAAAUUCUCCAAUGAAAAUAAAUAUAUAUCUAUUAAUAAAUAAAUUAUAUACUAAAUAAGUACACAAUAUUGAAUAAAUAAGUGCACAAUCCAUAUAAAUUGUAUACUUAUAAAAGCCCAAUACCUCUUUUAAGGGCAUCAAUCUUCCAUUAAAAUCUAAAUGCCCAAUCUCAACUUCAACUUUUUUAAGGGCAUCAACCUUUUAUUAAAAUCUACAGAUAUUGUGCAAAGUGAUAAAGUCAAUUUUAAUACUUUUUUUACGACAUGGAUUGAUAUUUUUUUUAAUUUCGCAGCAUAUUUUAGUUCCGAACUGUGUUGUCAAAUAAUAAUAAGCCCCACAAAAAUAUGACAUACACACCUCACUCAUAAUAUAAAAAUUUACAGCCAAGCGAUGGUUAACUAAUUGAUAUUGGAAAAAGUACAGUUCCAUUCUGCCACAACAAAUCAAAGGUAAAAAGACCAAGAUUCCUCAAAGAUGACACAGGUUCCUCUCUGGUUAUUCCAUUACAUUUUAAACUAAACAAGAAGACCACUCCCGGCCAGAAAACUAAAUACUUCAAUGAUUCAACAAAAAACGAAACAGGCUGUCCUUUCUCCAGCAUCAAAGCCUCAAGCAACAGAAGCCAUGUGGCAGAUCAAAUCAAUCACUCGGGAGCUGCAUAAAUGAGAAAUAUUUGUGUUGUAAUCAAGAAUUGGCACCGUAAAAAAUUCCAAAGCUAGUGUGUGAAGAUGAGCAAAGAGAAGUUGAUGCACACUACCUGUAACCCCACUCGUUGUCAUACCAUGACACAAGUUUCACGAAUUUCUUGCUCAAGGCAAUUCCAGCCUUGGCAUCGAAAAUGCUCGACCUGAACCAAAAAUUAAAUUUCACAUUAGACCACACACAGUUCAAGAAUUAAGUGUACACCCCCUUCUGAGUAAACUGAACAAAAGCAUAUACCUGCUGUCACCAACAAAGUCCGUGGAAACAACAUCAUCUUCGGUGAAACCCAAGAUACCCUUCAACUUACCCUCUGAUUCCUCCCUAUGAGCAGAGAACACAGAAAUCAGUUUUGCUUCACAAGGAACCAACAAUAGAACAACACAAGUGAUCAAACAGACACUCACUUGAUUGCAGCCUUAAUGUCAUCAUAAGAGGCUUCUUUCUCUAGUCUUACAGUAAGAUCCACAACAGAUACAUCCACAGUUGGAACUCUAAAGGCCAUUCCAGUCAAUUUGCCAUUAAGGGCUGGG
rnacentral:lncRNA from 1 species